rnacentral:rRNA from 1 species
GACGAACGCUGGCGGCGUGCUUAACACAUGCAAGUCGAACGGAAAGGCCCUGCUUUUGUGGGGUGCUCGAGUGGCGAACGGGUGAGUAACACGUGAGUAACCUGCCCUUGACUUUGGGAUAACUUCAGGAAACUGGGGCUAAUACCGGAUAGGAGCUCCUGCUGCAUGGUGGGGGUUGGAAAGUUUCGGCGGUUGGGGAUGGACUCGCGGCUUAUCAGCUUGUUGGUGGGGUAGUGGCUUACCAAGGCUUUGACGGGUAGCCGGCCUGAGGGGGUGACCGGCCACAUUGGGACUGAGAUACGGCCCAGACUCCUACGGGAGGCAGCAGUGGGGAAUAUUGCACAAUGGGCGGAAGCCUGAUGCAGCAACGCCGCGUGCGGGAUGACGGCCUUCGGGUUGUAAACCGCUUUCGCCUGUGACGAAGCGGGAGUGACGGUAAUGGGUAAAGAAGCACCGGCUAACUACGUG